GUGGCUCAGUGGUAGAGCGCUUGCCUUACAAGCAUGAGGCCCUGGGUUUGAUUCCUCAGC
rnacentral:tRNA from 1 species